CUGAACCACCAUCGAACCCCAAGAGAGCAAAUGUUAUAAGAAAAGAUAAUGCUAAACAACGAGGAACAAUGCACAAAAGAAAUUUAUAAAGGUCAUACUGGAAACACAGCAGAACCUUGGCAAUGAUGAUUUUUCAAGAUUUUGUUAUACAAGGCCUAUGGACUACCAUGAAGACAUUGUACUGACCAUUUUACCACACUGGAGGAGAGCAGCAUCUCAUUUGGUCAGUGAUCUUUCUGCCAUGGAAGUUGCUUGCCAGCUCUAAAUUUGAAUUGAAUGUAUGAAAUGCCUGAUGAGAAUAUCAAUUAAAAAUAUCUA